AACCUCCGCAAUGUGAGAAAUCGCGACGGGGGGAUCCCAAGUGCCAUUCUUAACGGGAUGGCUUUUCAUUAGUGUAAAGAGCUUUUGGAAUAAGAGCUGGGCAAGACCGGUGCCAGCCGCCGCGGUAACACCGGCAGCUCUAGUGGUAGCAAUUUUUAUUGGGCCUAAAGCGUCCGUAGCCGGUUUAAUAAGUCUCUGGUGAAAUCCUGCAGCUUAACUGUGGGAAUUGCUGGAGAUACUAUUAGACUUGAGAUCGGGAGAGGUUAGAGGUACUCCCAGGGUAGAGGUGAAAUUCUGUAAUCCUGGGAGGACCGCCUGUUGCGAAGGCGUCUAACUGGAACGAUUCUGACGGUGAGGGACGAAAGUUAGGGGCGCGAACCGGAUUAGAUACCCGGGUAGUCCUAACUGUAACGAUGCGGACUUGGUGUUGGGUGGCUUUGAGCUGCUCCAGUGCCGAAGGGAAGCUGUUAAGUCCGCCGCCUGGAGUACGGUCGCAAGACUGAAACUUAAGGAAUU
rnacentral:rRNA from 1 species